rnacentral:rRNA from 1 species
CCACGAAGCUGGAUUCGCUAGUAAUCGCGCAUCAGCCACGGCGCGGUGAAUACGUUCCCGGGCCUUGUACACACCGCCCGUCAAGCCAUGGGAGCCGGGGGUACCUGAAGUGCGUAACCGCGAGGAGCGCCCUAGGGUAAAACUGGUGACUGGGGCUAAGUCGUAACAAGGUAGC